GCGCCUAUAGUUCAAGGGAUAGAAUAACGGUUUGCGGAACCGUUGAUCCAGGUUCGAGUCCUGGUAGGCGCACCC
rnacentral:tRNA from 1 species